rnacentral:sRNA from 1 species
AACUUGUUCUCUCGUUUACUUACUAUCACCUUAUCGUCAAUUGCUUCCUUUCGAUUGUUUUUCUUUCAGUCUAUAUUCCUGGCGAGAACACCUUCAUCGCCCCUGGCGCCCUCUCGAAACGUCCUGGCCUGCCUGGCUCGGCAGGGUCGAUAUCCCACUUCAAAUAUGGCCGUCACAACAGUGGAACGCUCAUUUCCCGUGAAAGAGAAGGAGGUUUUCGAACCACCCUCCGAUGUGGUGGUGACGCCUUGUGAUCCGUUACCUAGACCUUACUACAUCGAAGGGGGCUUGCGCAGAGUUGCACCAUACCACUACACGUAUAAUACCUAUUGUAAAGAAAGGUGGCGGGGACGAGGAUUAUUGGAUGUUUUCGGAACAGAGUUUAGAGAUAGACCGAAGGAGUAUUAUCAAAAAGCCGUUGAAGACGGUGCUGUGUGCAUAAACGGAAAGGCAGUUUCCAUAGAUACGAAGAUCCAAAACGGGGAUGUGAUUUCGCAUACGCUUCACAGGCAUGAACCACCCGUGACCAGCCAACCGAUUGGCAUAAUCCACGAGGACGAUGACAUGAUUGUGAUCGAUAAGCCGGCUGGCGUGCCCGUGCAUCCUGCAGGGAGAUACAAUUAUAAUUCAAUUCUUGAGAUCAUGAAAGCGGAACGUGGAAACGGUUGGGUCCCGUAUCCUUGCAAUCGUCUGGAUAGGCUGACCUCGGGUGUGAUGUUUAUCGGAAAGCACCCCAAGGGUGCUGAGCAAAUUGGCGAAAAGCUCCGCUCGCGUACUGUGCGCAAAGAAUAUGUAGCACGGGUAAAGGGGAAGUUCCCGG